GAUGAACGCUGGCGGCGUGCUUAACACAUGCAAGUCGAACGGGAAAUAUUUCAUUGAGCCUUCGGUGGAUUUGAUUUAUUUCUAGUGGCGGACGGGUGAGUAACGCGUGGGUAACCUGCCUUAUACAGGGGGAUAACAGUCAGAAAUGGCUGCUAAUACCGCAUAAGCGCACAGAGCUGCAUGGCUCAGUGUGAAAAACUCCGGUGGUAUAAGAUGGACCCGCGUUGGAUUAGCUAGUUGGUGGGGUAACGGCCCACCAAGGCGACGAUCCAUAGCCGGCCUGAGAGGGUGAGCGGCCACAUUGGGACUGAGACACGGCCCAGACUCCUACGGGAGGCAGCAGUGGGGAAUAUUGCACAAUGGGGGAAACCCUGAUGCAGCGACGCCGCGUGAAGGAAGAAGUAUCUCGGUAUGUAAACUUCUAUCAGCAGGGAAGAUAGUGACGGUACCUGACGAAGAAGCCCCGGCUAACUACGUG
rnacentral:rRNA from 1 species